GCAGGACUGUGCUGCCUGAGAACAAGGGGAGAAAAAACUUGAUCCCUGACUUCCUUUCAUGGCACAGGUAUACAACAUCCCCACCAAAAAGGAGAAGAGCUGAGUUCACUGGGACCCAAGCAAGAGAGCAGCUCACCAGGAGGAGGAAGGACAAAGAUUUUUUAAGUAUACAGAAGUCUCCAGUUAUGAAAGUCAAUAUGGACACAGUGACUGCUAAACCCCACACAUGUCUCCUUCUUUGAUCUCUCUGUGCUCAAGUUCAGCAUUCACCCA
rnacentral:lncRNA from 1 species